CAGUCGUGGCCGGCUGUGACAGAGCCUGGACUCAAACCAGGAUCUCCAGUGGCACAGAUAGCACUGCACCACUCGGGAGGCCCGUCCUUACCUUCUGAGAUGCCCCGGUUCAGGAAGCAGGCAUCACAGACCCGUACGGGGGUGAGCCCCCAGCCCCUCUCAGGAACAGGACGGUUCUUGGUGGAGAAGCCGUCACAGAAGCCCUCUCCACAGGCACGGCAGUGGUGCUUAGUAUCGUUGUCCUGGAACACCUCACUGCACUUAGGACAUUUCUGUUACAGAGAACACAGAGACACAGAGACACAGAGACACAGAGAACACAGAGAGCACAGAGAACACAGAGAGCAUAGAGACACAGAGCACAGAGAAAGAGAGCACAGAGAACACAGAGAACACAGAGACACAGAGAACAUAGAGAGCACAGAGACAGAGCACAGAGAGCACAGAGACAGAGAGCACAGAGAACACAGAGGACAGAGACAAAGAGCACAGAGAACACAGAGACACAGAGAACACAAAGAGCACAGAGACAGAUUAUAUCACAGGCUGAAAACACAAGCACACAUAGGAGGAAUGGACAGUCUUUACACAGUCAUAGGAGCAAUGGACAGUCUUUACACAGUCAUAGGAGGAAUGGACAGUCUACACAGUCAUAGGAGGAAUGGACAGUCUUUACCAGUCAUAGGAGCAAUGGUCAGUCUUUACACAUCAGAUAGGAGGAAUGGACAGUCUUCACAGUCAUAGGAGGAAUGGACAGUCUUUACACAGUCAUAGGAGGAAUGGACAGUCUACACAGUCAUAGGAGGAAUGGUCAGUCUUUACACAGUCAUAGGAGGAAGGACAGUCUUUACACAGCAUAGGAGGAAUGACA
rnacentral:lncRNA from 1 species